rnacentral:rRNA from 1 species
UGGGGAAUCUUGGACAAUGGGGGCAACCCUGAUCCAGCCAUGCCGCGUGAGUGAUGAAGGCCUUAGGGUCGUAAAGCUCUUUCGCCUGUGAAGAUAAAUGACGGUAGCAGGUAAAGAAACCCCGGCUAACUCCGUGCCAGCAGCCGCGGUAAUACGGAGGGGGUUAGCGUUGUUCGGAAUUACUGGGCGUAAAGCGCGCGUAGGCGGACUGAUCAGUCAGGGGUGAAAUCCCGGGGCUCAACCCCGGAACUGCCUCCAAAACUAUUGGUCUAGAGUUCGAGAGAGGUGAGUGGAAUUCCAAGUGUAGAGGUGAAAUUCGUAGAUAUUUGGAGGAACACCAGUGGCGAAGGCGGCUCACUGGCUCGAUACUGACGCUGAGGUGCGAAAGUGUGGGGAGCAAACAGGAUUAGAUACCCUGGUAGUCCACACCGUAAACGAUGAAUGCCAGUCGUCGGGUAGCAUGCUAUUCGGUGACACACCUAACGGAUUAAGCAUUCCGCCUGGGAGUACGGUCGCAAGAUUAAAAGCUCAAAUGAAUUGA